rnacentral:rRNA from 1 species
AUGGCGGAAGGCGACCUAAGUGUUCUCAUGGCGGAAGGCGGCCUAGGGGUGGAGGAGGUAGUAGACGAGAGUGGCUGCUUAGAGCCUUUCUUCUACGACGAGGCGGAGGUUGUGGCCGAAGCGGCGGCAGCGGCGGAGAGGCGGCGGCGGGAGGCUGAGGAGAAGGCGGCGGAGCAUGCGCGGAAGAUGGAGAAAUUGAGGCGGAGAAAGGAAGCGCAUCAGGCCGUGAUCGACAGGAUCCGCGAGUGCGAUCCCAAGACGGGGGAAGUCUGCUACACCCGAUUCUACAACAGGGACAUGUCCAAAUUUGACAUCGACCAGGAGUUGAAGAUAGCCUCUUCGGAUAUGGGAUUUCCGUUAAAGGUGUAUGGUACCGUGAUUGCAAGAGAUUACCUCGAUUUCAAGUUGAAGGGGAGCCUUGGCGCAACGGUAAAGUUGUUGCCUUGUGACCAUGAGGUCACGGGUUCGAGUCCUGGAAACAGCCUCUUCCAGAAAUGUAGGGAAAGGCUGCGUACUGUAGACCCAAAGUGGUCGGACCCUUCCCCGGACCCUGCGCAAGCGGAAGCUACGUGCACCAGUGCAAAGGAUCAAUCGUUGAUCUUGACUGGACCAACUCGAGGACUAGUGUUACUAGAUAGUAUAUAUUUUGAGGUGGAUCUUAAGAUCAAGGAUGACCAAGGGAAGAAAGACCAAGAACUUAGCAAGGGACUGUGUGUGAUUGAUGGCAUAUUAAUGGGAGGGGAGGAACAUGGUCAUGUUGGAUGUGAAGACCUCGAUAGCAGGCUGAGCACUGUAGAGGUGAAAUUUGCAGUUGUUAAACUUGCAGUGGAGGCUACCCUUGAAAUCAAGGUUCUCAAAGGAGAUUUCUAUGGAGAAAUGACAGCUUGCACCUCCAGGAUUCAGGAUCGCCUGGUGCUUCAUGAUAGCAAAGCAGGUGGUGUAAUCUGUGAUGGUACUGGAAUGCUCCAGUUGUGGCGCCGUGUUGUAACUAUUGGAAUGAAGGAUAUGCUUUUAUUAACUAUUGCUACCCAGGCUAGUGAUGUGGCAACUGCCUCUGCUACACGAACCAUUAAUUUCACUCCACAUGUGAACGGUGCAGAGGAAGAUGAAAUUACCUGUGGUGCUGUUAAGAUGCUUAUCAAGGUCAACUGGUCCUUAUUUGAAUUGCGAACUUUGAUGCACCUAUGCUUAUAA